UACAGAGGUCUCAAGCGUUGUUCGGAUUCAUUGGGCGUAAAGGGUGCGUAGGCGGCGCGGUAAGUCGGGUGUGAAAUCUCGGAGCUUAACUCCGAAACUGCAUUCGAUACUGCCGUGCUUGAGGACUGGAGAGGAGACUGGAAUUUACGGUGUAGCGGUGAAAUGCGUAGAUAUCGUAAGGAAGACCAGUGGCGAAGGCGGGUCUGCUGGACAGUUCCUGACGCUGAGGCACGAAGGUCAGGGGAGCAAACGGG
rnacentral:rRNA from 1 species